rnacentral:lncRNA from 1 species
UUUGCAGCUGAAAACAGUCACUUUUUAUUUCAAUAAAACUUUUUAUGGUGUGCUUAGUUAAGUUGAGCAUUUGCAAUUCUUUCAUGGUCCUCUGAGAGUCUGAUUGAUUGUGACACGGCUCCUGGAUCAAUAAUGAUGUAGCAUACCAAACAGUUGCCAGUGCAAGUUGUGUGAUUGCCUUAUAGAAAGCAGUCUGUCACUUUUCCUUGUCUUGCAGAUAUGCUAAUUCAGCUCUUUUUCUGGAUGCAAAGCAUUUCCUCCAAGAGUGAUAUCUGUGUAUAUGUAAAGUGCUUUCAUUGCUAUCUUUUUUCUGAAUACCUGAGUACUUAAUGAACAAAGUACAUUCAGUAGCACAUGGAAACCACAAAUAAUUCAUUCUGCUAUUGUCUCUAGCCGAUAUAAAAAGUUCUCCACAAUCAGGCUACAGCAUUGCAUCUUUUCUUGAGCUUCAGCUGAGGAAUAUUUAUUUUGGCUACUGCUAAUCAGUUUAUUAACCACUGCUUCAAGAAACAGUCUUACAGUGCAGUUCAUUGUGGUUUCUUGCUUUGUGUAAGAGGGUUUUUGUCUUGAUUCUUCAUUAUACACCAUGCUUUUAAAAGCUUCAGUAAAGAAUAGUAUUUUACAUUUGGAAAAAGGAAAGAAGGGGCUGAAGUUUUCCUUAUUACCUGUGGGAAUCCAUUAGUUCUUUAGAAGCCUUAUGUGACAUUGUAAGAUCAGCUAGUGAGCAGAGAAAAAGUCUGUAGUCAUCUUCUUAGCAGAGUCCCUUAUACAUCACGUUCUAUUUCCAGUUUUCUUAAGGCUGUAGCUUUCAUAUCCAUCUGAACAGUCUCAGAAUCAAACCAAGAAGGAGCAAAACUACAUAAAUAUUACUGAGGCUUGAUCUGUAUUGUAUAGGGCAGAAUCUACCUCCUGGCUAAUCCUAGAGAGAACAUGAUGCUUUAUUAAAGCUUAACAUCACAGGCAAGUUAAAUGUUUACUGUGGACCAGCUUUUCGACAGGACCUUGCUGUAUACGACAGAAGGUAA